AUCACUCUGGCGCCGGUUUUUUCCCCCUGCAUCUGUUUAAUUCUUCAGCACCACAUGCUGCAGCAUUUGAAUCUUUGAGAUUUGACUGAUGUGUAAUUGAUUAUUGGAAUUUGUGAAGACAGCACCUCUCUGAUCUGUUUCUCACACUCUGGAGUUGUAAGUGCCUGCACUGGUAGCUGUCCGGGUCGCUGUUUGAUCCUGUGUCAUCUGACGCAAGUUGGAGUGGGUUCCAAUCCACUCUGUUAUGUCUGGACGGCAGUCAUAAUGGGUGUUUACAAACCGUUGUCACCGAGCCUGAUCUCUGGGAGUGAUUGACAGGUCUGGGGUCACGGGAGGUCACAUGAUUGGCGGUGGGACAAUGACUGGUGUCUCGUGGUCAGCUGUCACUUUCUCUCGUAUAUACUGCACUGUCUUCGUGGCAUGAUCAGAGUUAAAGAUUUAGGAGAAUAAAAGCAUUCGUGAUAGAAUAAAUAAAUGCUGGAGAACACCUUGAUUGUUGACUCUCCCUCCUGCUGCUAUGAUUCAGGAUUAUUUUGAUUGCAAUAUCUUUGUGUGUUACAAGUUAUUGUACAAACAAUUCAAAGUGAAUCAUUUAAAUUCAUUCUUGUACAAUUUUAUAAUGAAAGAAUUUACAAACUUUGAAGAUUCAGUAUAAUUUCAAAACCAGCGUUAGUUUCUACUGUUAAUGAUUUUGAUUAGUAACCAUAGAAAUUUCUGAGACUUAAGCUGAUUUAUCAUAAAGUUAACCUUUCUUGAUAACUAUAGACACACAUGUAAUUGAACUGUGCCUGCUGACAUUAAAAUGUAAAAGUUAAUCCAAGUAUUGAUAUGCUGGAAUCAGUAGAAGGCACCUCGUACUGGUGUUGUCAGUUACAGCGGUGUAAGGUUGUUAUCCGUGUGAAGAAUUCCGCAUUCCGUCGCUCCUCUCUCAGCUUCUCUCGUAUAGAUGGCAGCCCUUUAAAGCCUGGAGCUGUUGCAGAAGGCUCAGUAACAAGUUUUGAGUGAGUGUUUGUUGUUCCGUGCCCACACCAGUAAGCUCAUCAGGCCACUCUGAGAUGGGGAUGCUUUCCUCCUUCGAUGCGAUCCAGACCCCGUUUGAGAUUCCGUAACAUGUGUUUUGUAUUGGGAGGGCGAAUGGCAUCUUUUCCGAUUUUGUCAAGGGUUGCACAUGUUUCUCUCCUCUCUCCUGGCGCCAGUCUGUCGCUCAAGAACCUGCAUAAUCAGUUAAAGUUUUCCAGCUACCGAAGGUGAAAAUUUGAACCAUAUGAUUUUGCUAUGUCAGUCUUGAUAAGUUAAAUACUAGACGAGUAAUCUUAAAAACAUCUGUUGGCAGAAAAAACAGACUUCUCCAGAUUUUGUUUUUAGGAAUUCAUCUAAGUUUUAACUGUUAUUACGAAGUUGAAAAAAGUACAAGAAUGCAGAUGACUGGUGUCUGGACAAUAUCUGUAUAAUUUCCCAUACACCCUGCACUAAUAUGUCAGGAAUUUCCUCUCCAUGUUGUCGUGGAAGCUUUGCUGUUGGAUUGAUCAGUGGGUGGUGUAAGGUGUCCUUAAUUCCUCAUAGCUUUAUGAUGCCAUGGGUACUGAGCUUGCAACCCUUGGUCAAGAUGAGGUAGCUUUAUAUACCACCCUACAGUUACUUAGGUUCAUCAGUCAGUGUUAUUAAUGUCACCAUCCAUGAAAAUAUAAUUAGCAGUAUAAUUGUGAUAAUCACCGGGGGUUUUUUAAAAUUGCUUUGUGUAUGUAAGAUUUUGUGUACGUAUGUAAGCUUAAUACAUGUACUUAGAACUGUUGCUAUUGGUAAAGCGUAAAAUAAGUGUAAGAUAAUCAAUGUGAUUGCUAGCAUGUUGUACACGUGUUGCCAGUGGGGCAUUGACAGACACAUGUGUCACACCCAACAGCUGUACAGAGAGGUGGCACAGAAGGCAGGAGGCUCAAUGGGCCACCAGGCUCACCAGAUGCGGGCAGUUCACCUCAGUGGAUAUUUUGACCUUUGUGUACUUGUAAAUAUACAGAUUUUAAGUCAGGUAAUGGUUUACCUUGACCUUGGCCAAGGUCAAUUAUAGCUGACCUGGUUUGCAUACUUGUAGUCUCAAGCAGAUGGCAAUUAAAAGUCAACAACU
rnacentral:sRNA from 1 species